rnacentral:piRNA from 1 species
GAGGAGCUGGGACCUGCAAAGUGUAGGUGGU